GGCCUCGUAGCUCAGCUGGUAGAGCAUGCGCGUACAAAGCGUAGGCGGCGUUCAUAUGUGGGUUCAAAUCCUACCGAUACCA
rnacentral:tRNA from 1 species